rfam:Ictidomys tridecemlineatus contig062753, whole genome shotgun sequence.
UGGGUUGUGGCUUAGUGGUAGAGCACAUGCCUGGCAUGCAUGAGGCACUGGGUUCAAUCCCUGGCACCAG